AUUGAACGCUGGCGGCAGGCCUAACACAUGCAAGUCGAGCGGAUGAAGGGAGCUUGCUCCUGGAUUCAGCGGCGGACGGGUGAGUAAUGCCUAGGAAUCUGCCUGGUAGUGGGGGAUAACGUCCGGAAACGGGCGCUAAUACCGCAUACGUCCUGAGGGAGAAAGUGGGGGAUCUUCGGACCUCACGCUAUCAGAUGAGCCUAGGUCGGAUUAGCUAGUUGGUGGGGUAAAGGCCUACCAAGGGGACGAUCCGUAACUGGUCUGAGAGGAUGAUCAGUCACACUGGAAGUGAGACACGGUCCAGACGCCUACGGGAGGCAGCAGUGGGGAAUAUUGGACAAUGGGCGAAAGCCUGAUCCAGCCAUGCCGCGUGUGUGAAGAAGGUCUUAGGAUUGUAAAGCACUUUAAGUUGGGAGGAAGGGCAGUAAGUUAAUACCUUGCUGUUUUGACGUUACCAACAGAAUAAGCACCGGCUAACUUCGUG
rnacentral:rRNA from 1 species